GGGAAGAUAAGCUAAGUAUAAGCUCGUAGGUUCAUACCCUAUUUAUGGAGAUUGCUCCUCUUUCCA
rnacentral:tRNA from 2 species